CCCGGAACAGGGCCGCCGUAGGGCGAGGCCAGGGUGCCAGGAGCCAGGCCUCCGCGGGGAAGCGGGAUUCUGCCCGGUUCCAAACCGUGUUUGACCCCAGGGCGCCUGUACUGCCCCUGAAGGCCAGGCUGGAGGAAAGACGACUACCUUGGGAGAGCGGGGGGCCUGGGGAAAAGUUUCAACCCAUCCAGUGAAGGUAUCUACAAAUACCAAGAUGUAUUUGAAACCCCAGGGACCAGGGACAUGACAGCAAAAGGAUUGCGGGUGAUCAUCUCCCAUGCUUGGAUC